rnacentral:pre_miRNA from 1 species
UACUAGCCCAGCUCUAUGUCUACUAGCCCAGCUCUAUGUCUACUAAUAGAGCCAGGCUAGUAGACAUAGAGCCAGGCUAGUAGACAUAGAGCUGGGCUAGUAGACAUAGAGCUGGGCUAG